UGGUGGAGUUCUAGCUUUGCC
rnacentral:siRNA from 1 species